UACGUAGGGAGCAAGCGUUGUCCGGAAUCAUUGGGCGUAAAGCGCGCGUAGGUGGCUUCAUAAGUCCGUUGUGAAAGUCAAAGGCUCAACCUUUGAAAGCCGAUGGAUACUGUGAAGCUAGAGUACGGAAGAGGCGAGUGGAAUUCCUGGUGUAGCGGUGGAAUGCGCAGAUAUCAGGAGGAACACCUAUAGCGAAGGCAGCUCGCUGGGACGACACUGACGCUGAGACGCGAAAGCGUGGGGAGCGAACAGG
rnacentral:rRNA from 1 species